rnacentral:rRNA from 1 species
ACCAGUUCUAGCCCAUACAACUUCAACUACACCCAAUUACACAUUAUGCUCAAAUAAAACAUUUACCUUUAUUAAAGUAUAGGAGAUAGAAAUUUUAACAUCGGAGCUAUAGAGCCAGUACCGUAAGGGAAAGAUGAAAGAAAUAACUUAUAGUAAAACAAAGCAAAGACUAACUCUUCUACCUUUUGCAUAAUGAAUUAGCCAGAAAUUACUUCGCAAAAAGAAUUUUAGCCAAGAACCCCGAAACCAGACGAGCUACUUAUGGGCAGCAACAAGAGCUAAUCCAUCUAUGUGGCAAAAUAGUGGAAAGACCUGUAAGUAGCGGUGAAAAGCCUAUCGAGCCUGGUGAUAGCUGGUUAUCCAGAUAAGAAUUUUAGUUCAACUUUAAAUUUACUUUAAGAGCUUACAAUCUAAACGUAAAUUUAAUUGUUACUCUAAAGAGGGACAGCUCUUUAGACAUAGGAAAAAACCUUUAUUAGAGAGUAAACUAAUUAGAUUCCAUAGUUGGCCUAAAAGCAGCCAUCAAUUAAAAAAGCGUUCAAGCUUAACCAAUUACACUUAACCAAAUCUAAAUAUUAAAAAUCACCUCCUAAUUUUAUACUGGAUUAAUCUAUACAUAAUAAUAGAAGCGAUAAUGCUAAUAUGAGUAAUAAGAAAAMCAUUUCUCCCCGCAUAAGUUUAUAUCAGCCCGAAUAUAUCACUGAUAGUUAACAAAUAUAUAAUUCAACUNNNNNNNNNNNNNNNUUAUUAUUCAUAAUGUUAAUCCAACACUGGCAUGCACUUUUAAGGGAAAGAUUAUAAAAAGUAAAAGGAACUCGGCAAACACUAACCCCGCCUGUUUACCAAAAACAUCACCUCUAGCAUAAACAGUAUUAGAGGCACUGCCUGCCCAGUGACAUACGUUAAACGGCCGCGGUAUCCUGACCGUGCAAAGGUAGCAUAAUCACUUGUUCCUUAAAUAGGGACUUGUAUGAACGGCUAAACGAGGGUUAUUCUGUCUCUUACUUUUAAUCAGUGAAAUUGACCUCCCCGUGAAGAGGCGGGGAUAGACAAAUAAGACGAGAAGACCCUGUGGAGCUUUAAUUUAUUAACUCAAGCAAGNNNNNNNNNNNNNNNNNNNNNNNNNNNNCUCUNUUGCCUGUGGGUUAAAAAUUUUGGUUGGGGUGACCUCGGAGCAUAAAUCAACCUCCGAAUGAUCUUAACCCAGACUCUAACCCGUCUAAGUUUACAUUCAUUAAUUGACCCAAACUUUUGAUCAACGGAACAAGUUACCCCAGGGAUAACAGCGCAAUCCUACUCAAGAGUUCUUAUCGACAGUAGGGUUUACGACCUCGAUGUUGGAUCAGGACAUCCAAAUGGUGCAACCGCUAUUAAUGGUUCGUUUGUUCAACGAUUAAAGUCCUACGUGAUCUGAGUUCAGACCGGAGAAAUCCAGGUCGGUUUCUAUCUAUUAUAUACUCCUCCCAGUACGAAAGGACAAGAGGAGUGAGGCCAAUGCCCACAACAUGCCUUACAGACAAUAAAUGAUAUAAUCUCAAUCUAGUAGUCAGUACACACACCAACCCUAGAACAGGGUUA